rnacentral:lncRNA from 1 species
UUCUUCCUCUCCAAAUCCAAGGUCUACCCUCAAGAUUUUUCUCCCAUCACCCCUUCACCUCAAAUCACCCCUUGGGAACCGAGCUCUUCCCAUUUUUCUCCCUUGAUUGGAGCGGUUGGAGCGUGCCCUAGCUUCCACCCUUCUCCUCCAAACCGGGAUUUUUCUCCUCCAAAAAUCCCUAUCCAUCCCCUAAAAUCCCUCUAUCUCCUCACACAUUUGAUCUCCCAAGUCCCCUUGCUUGCUCUGGUGGUGGAAAUGGCUCCAAAAAUAAAGCUCCCACAA